GUUGCUUUUAUAGUAUGCACAUAUACUCUAAAAAUCAUGGUUAUUUUAUUGCAACAUUUUUUUUGUGUUUGGGUAGUUUUUGUGUAACCCAGCUCCUGGGACAGGAGAGUCGCAACAACCCAGUGUUUGGGUUGUUUUGCAG